AUGGCCCAAUAUCUAGCUGUUUGCUCUGCUGUAUCACAUCACAUGAACAUCAAAUUUUCUGUGACCGGCCGCGAUUAUCAUGGACAAGUUGCUGAUCCCCCAAUCGGCGUUAGCGGAGGAAAAUUAUACACAGCCACGCCCCACCUCCCUCUUUAUCCUUCACCACUCGGCAGCCGAGUAAAAUUCCACGCCUCUCUAGCCACCUUCUCUGCCUCUCAUCCUCCCAUCCCAUCACCAGCACACGCCCCCACCGUUCCCCGACCGCCCCUCCUCCCAAUGGCCGGACCGCAUGGCCGACGCUCCUCGCUCCCGAUCCACAGCUCGAAUCCGCGCCGCAUCCUCGAGUCACCGUCCCGCCGCCAUCAUGCCCCCCGCCCGCAUCUCGGACUUCCUCGACCUCGCUUGCCGGGACAGCCGCAGAGGAAAUACCUCGGCGUCUGCCAGCGCGCGUGGAGGACUUGGGUGGUGGAGAUCACCGACUGGGAGAUCCACACGAAGAAGUGGAUCGGGUCAUUCCACACAGCAGAGCUCGCCGCCCUGGAAUAUGACUGGUGGCAGGUCCGGUUCCAUGGUGCGGUGGCAAGGCUCAAUUUUCUGUUUGGGACGGUGCUCGUCCACCUCAUCCUGGUGGUGCCGAGGGUGGUGGAUGCGGCGAUGGCUCGGGAGGACCGGGAGGCGAGGGAGCGCCUCGCGGUGGAGGCCGCCGACGAGGAAUACAUGGCGGACCUCUGCCGUCAGCACCCCGAGCUCGUGGAGGCAGAGGGGGCCAUCUUUGUGGAGCUAGCGGUCGACGACGAGGUCAUCGUUACCUUCGACGGCGAGGAGCAAGGAGGCGGCGACGACAACAGCGCGGAGAAGGAAUUCGACACCGAGAAGUGGCGGCGCAUCUUCCCAGACUCCAGCGAUGACGGCACUGCCCGGACUAGCCGAUCCCCAAUCGGCGUUAGCGGAAGAAAAUUAUCCUCAGCCACGCCCCAGCUUCCUAUUUAUCCUUCACCACUCGGUAGCCGAGUAAAAUUCCACACCUCUCUAGCCACCUUCUCUGCCUCUCAUCCUCCCAUCCCAUCGCCAGCGCAUGCCCCCACCGUUCCCCGACCACCCCUCCUCCCAAUGAGGAAAUACCUCGACGUCUGCCAGCACGCGUGGAGGACUUGGGUGGUGGAGAUCACCGACCGGGAGAUCAACACGAAGAAGUGGAUCGGGUCAUUCCACACAGCGGAGCUCGCCGCCCUGGAAUAUGACCGGUGGCAGGUCCGGUUCCAUGGCGCGAUGACGAAGCUCAAUUUUCUGUUUGGGACGGCGCCCGUCCACCUCGUCCCGGUGACGCCGGGGGUGGUGGAUGCGGCGACGGCUCGGGAGGACCGGGAGGCGAGGGAGCGCCUCGCGGUGGAGGCCGUCGACAAGCCCGAGCUCGUGGAGGCAGAGGGCGCCAUCUUUGUGGAGCUGGCGGUCGACAACAAGGUCAUCAUUACCUCCAACGGCGAGGAGCAAGGCGGCGGCGACGACAACAACGCGGAGAAGGAGUUCAACGCUGAGGAGUGA
rnacentral:rRNA from 1 species